GACGAACGCUGGCGGCGUGCUUAACACAUGCAAGUCGAGCGAGGCCCCUCCUUCGGGAGGGUGUCCUAGCGGCGAACGGGUGAGUAACACGUGGGCAACCUGCCCUCAGCUCUGGGAUAACUCCGGGAAACCGGGGCUACUACCGGAUACGACCUCCACGGGCAUCUGCGGAGGUGGAAAGUUUUUCGGCUGAGGAUGGGCCCGCGGCCUAUCAGCUAGUUGGUGGGGUAGUGGCCCACCAAGGCGACGACGGGUAGCCGGCCUGAGAGGGCGACCGGCCACACUGGGACUGAGACACGGCCCAGACUCCUACGGGAGGCAGCAGUGGGGAAUAUUGCGCAAUGGGCGAAAGCCUGACGCAGCGACGCCGCGUGAGGGACGAAGGCCUUCGGGUUGUAAACCUCUUUCAGCAGGGACGAAGCGAAAGUGACGGUACCUGCAGAAGAAGCACCGGCCAACUACGUG
rnacentral:rRNA from 1 species